rnacentral:lncRNA from 1 species
UUGCUGCUGCUUUGAAGGAUCUGAAGCUGUGGGUGAUGAAUGUAGUUCCUAUCGACUCAGCUGAUACGCUUCCAAUUAUAUACGAACGUGGUUUGUUUGGAAUCUACCAUGACUGGUGUGAAUCAUUCAGCACUUACCCUCGAACUUACGACCUUCUUCAUGCUGAUCAUCUUUUCUCUGCACUGAAGAAGAGGUAUGUAGAUAUACAGUACACUCACAUAUCUCUGUGGCCUUUUCUUGAUUGCAAAAUCUGAUGAUUGUAUGUAUAAAACAACACUCAUUCAGGUGCAGCUUGGUAUCGGCAAUGGCUGAAGUGGACAGGAUUCUUAGGCCACAAGGAACUUUUAUAGUAAGAGAUGACAUGGAAACAAUAGGAGAAAUCGAGAAGAUGGUGAAAUCGAUGAAGUGGAAUGUAAGAAUGACACAUUCCAAAGAUGGAGAAGGAGUGCUCUCUGUUCAAAAGUCAUUGUGGCGUCCUUCAGAGGUCGAGACAGUUACAUGGGCAAUAGCCUGAGGUGAAUGGAAACUAAGAGGAAGAAUAAAAUGGUUUUUUUUACUUUCUAUAGUUUCAUAAUUAAGUUUUUUUCUUUUAUGAUCACAUUGAUUGUUACUUGUAUUAGUCCAAUAUUUGUAUCCCCUUUUCCUUUUGCAUUGACAAAAAUUGUAUACAAGACAAUUGUCUCAAAACUGUAAACUUAUGAGUUUAUGGUUUGGUCCUAAGCACCUAUGAAAAGUCAUAUAUGAAAUGUGAUAUAAGCAAGGACAUGCAUAUAUAAACAUAUUUGUAACUAUUCUAGAAAGUAAAAUAUAAAUAUGACCUUGCAACAGGUCAGAUUAUACAUGUGUUUUAAGUUUAAGAAAGAAAAACAAACAGUUUAGAAACAAGAUUUUAAUCAAACAAAACAUUCAGUCUCAUCAUCUCUUGUAAGGCUCAAAAGGAUAUCUCUGAAACUCAGAUCCAAAGGUGAUAGAUUCCUCAUCGAGUUUCUUCUUCAACCUCCUCCAAGUCCUCAACUUAUUAGACUGUAUUAACCCUUUAUACAACGUCUCAAACGUUAGCUUCUGCGGCAAGAAACCUCUCUCUAUCAUCUCCACAAAGUACCCACAAGCCUCUUUCCAUUUAUCCUUCCCACACAACCCAUGAACCAAACAAGUAUACGAAUCCAAAUCCGGACCCGUCUCGCUUCCUUUAAGAUCAUCCCAAAUCUCUCCCACAAUCUCCAUCUUCCCCAAAAGAUGAACACGAGGCGCAGGUUCAGUUUGCUCUGGAACGUGGUAUCCCUGCAAUGUCAAAUGUUAUGGGAACCAAGAGAUUGCCUUUCCCAGGAUCUGUUUUCGAUCUUAUCCAUUGUGCUCGUUGUAGAGUCCCUUGGCAUAUUGAAGGUGGUAAACUACUUCUGGAACUGAACCGUGCAUUGAGACCGGGUGGUUUCUUUGUCUGGUCGGCAACUCCAGUUUACAGGAAGACCGAAGAAGACGUUGGCAUAUGGAAAGGUUGGAAACUUUGUUCCCUUUUAUUUGCAACUGGUUCUUAACUAACAUGUGAGAUGUUUCUUUAUGUUCUGUAGCUAUGUCGAAGCUAACAAAGGCAAUGUGCUGGAAACUAAUGACGAUUAAGAAAGAUAAACUGAAUGAAGUUGGUGCUGCCAUUUACCAAAAGCCAAUGUCGAAUGAUUGCUACAACCAAAGAUCUCAAAACGAGCCACCUCUCUGCAAAGACUCUGAUGAUCAAAACGCCGCUUGGUAGCUUAUCUAUUCCCUUUCUCACAUCAAUGCAAUGGAACUUUGUUGCUAAAGUAUAUGAUUGCAGGAAUGUUCCACUUGAGGCAUGUAUGCACAAAGUGACAGAAGACUCAUCAAAACGCGGAGCAGUUUGGCCUGAGAAUUGGCCAGAGAGAGUAGAGACUGUUCCUCAGUGGUUGGAUUCUCAGGAAGGUGUGUAUGGAAAACCUGCACAAGAGGAUUUCACAGCAGACCAAGAACGUUGGAAGACUAUUGUGUCGAAGUCAUACCUCAACGGUAUGGGAAUCGAUUGGUCUUAUGUCAGAAAUGUGAUGGACAUGAGAGCUGUCUAUGGAGGGUAAGUACUGAAAAAAAAACAUUCACUAAUAUCAAACUGACUCCAUGUAUUUGUUAUUAAAUGAUCUCUCUCUUUCUUGGUUUCAGUUUUGCUGCUGCUUUGAAGGAUCUGAAGCUGUGGGUGAUGAAUGUAGUUCCUAUCGACUCAGCUGAUACGCUUCCAAUUAUAUACGAACGUGGUUUGUUUGGAAUCUACCAUGACUGGUGUGAAUCAUUCAGCACUUACCCUCGAACUUACGACCUUCUUCAUGCUGAUCAUCUUUUCUCUGCACUGAAGAAGAGGUAUGUAGAUAUACAGUACACUCACAUAUCUCUGUGGCCUUUUCUUGAUUGCAAAAUCUGAUGAUUGUAUGUAUAAAACAACACUCAUUCAGGUGCAGCUUGGUAUCGGCAAUGGCUGAAGUGGACAGGAUUCUUAGGCCACAAGGAACUUUUAUAGUAAGAGAUGACAUGGAAACAAUAGGAGAAAUCGAGAAGAUGGUGAAAUCGAUGAAGUGGAAUGUAAGAAUGACACAUUCCAAAGAUGGAGAAGGAGUGCUCUCUGUUCAAAAGUCAUUGUGGCGUCCUUCAGAGGUCGAGACAGUUACAUGGGCAAUAGCCUGAGGUGAAUGGAAACUAAGAGGAAGAAUAAAAUGGUUUUUUUUACUUUCUAUAGUUUCAUAAUUAAGUUUUUUUCUUUUAUGAUCACAUUGAUUGUUACUUGUAUUAGUCCAAUAUUUGUAUCCCCUUUUCCUUUUGCAUUGACAAAAAUUGUAUACAAGACAAUUGUCUCAAAACUGUAAACUUAUGAGUUUAUGGUUUGGUCCUAAGCACCUAUGAAAAGUCAUAUAUGAAAUGUGAUAUAAGCAAGGACAUGCAUAUAUAAACAUAUUUGUAACUAUUCUAGAAAGUAAAAUAUAAAUAUGACCUUGCAACAGGUCAGAUUAUACAUGUGUUUUAAGUUUAAGAAAGAAAAACAAACAGUUUAGAAACAAGAUUUUAAUCAAACAAAACAUUCAGUCUCAUCAUCUCUUGUAAGGCUCAAAAGGAUAUCUCUGAAACUCAGAUCCAAAGGUGAUAGAUUCCUCAUCGAGUUUCUUCUUCAACCUCCUCCAAGUCCUCAACUUAUUAGACUGUAUUAACCCUUUAUACAACGUCUCAAACGUUAGCUUCUGCGGCAAGAAACCUCUCUCUAUCAUCUCCACAAAGUACCCACAAGCCUCUUUCCAUUUAUCCUUCCCACACAACCCAUGAACCAAACAAGUAUACGAAUCCAAAUCCGGACCCGUCUCGCUUCCUUUAAGAUCAUCCCAAAUCUCUCCCACAAUCUCCAUCUUCCCCAAGUUGAUAAACGUACUCAACAGAACAUUAUAAGUGUUCGUAUUCGGCUUGCACAAUCCAUCUUUCAUCUUCUUAUAAAGAUUCAUCGCCCCGGUAACAUCUUUUCUUCCUUUGUACUCUUUGAAAAAGCAAUUGUAUGUAGCGGAAGAAGGGCUUAUCCCAUCUCCCACCAUGGCUUCAAGCAGCUCCUCAGCCUCCUCCAACCUCCCACAAGAACAUAGACACUUCACAACCGAAGUGUACGUCUCCGUGGUCGGGCUAAUCCCUUUGGCCUUCAUGAGUUUCAGCUUAUCCAAACUCAGCUCGGACUUAUGAGCUCUGCUGUACAUAUGGAGCACGAUCGAAAAGCUCGUGACGUCAGGCUCGAUCCCUCUCUCACGCAUUUCAUCGAACACCUUCUCCGCGUUCCUCACGUUCCUCUCAAACCUCUCCUCGGGAUGCAAACUCGCCGUCCGGCAGAUCCCGUUGAGCAGAACGUUGUACGUCACGACGUUAGGCUCGAUCCCGGAUCCGAUCAUCUCCGCUAAGAAUCUCUCCGCCAUGUCGAUCCUCCGCAGCUUACACCAGCCGGCGAUGAGAAUCGUGUAAACCUUCUCGUCGGAUCCGAACUCAGCUUUGCGUUCGUUGAAAACCCCAACGGCCAGCUUCGUGUGUCCGUACUUACAAAGCGUGUCGAGGAGAAAGGAGAACUCGUCGACGCCGAGAGGGUUCUCGAGGAAGCAAGGCGCGUCGUCGAAAGCUCGGACGGCUUGGCGAGUGAGUCCGGCGGCGAUUAGGCGCUUGACGAGGAUGAGGAACGUCUCCGAGGAAGGUUUGAGAUUCUCCCGCUGCUCCAUCUCGACGAUUAGCUGUCGAGCGACGUCGAAUUGGCGGACUUUUCCGAGGAUGUCGAUGAUGAGGUUGAAGGAGGUGAGUGUUGUUGUCGUCGAAGGAGAGGGUAAGGAGCGUAGGUAUUGGAAGAAGGAGAGGGCGAUUUUGGAGUUGUGGCGGAGACGGAGGAGGGUUUGGUUGAUGAGGUGAGGAGAGAGGGAGAUUCCGUUGAGCUGCAGAGAUGAUUCUGUGAAGUGGAAAGGGUUGUGGUUGGUCACGAGGAUUUGGGAGAUUAGUUCGGCGUCGUUUGAGGGUUCGAGUUUCGGGAGGUUGAGAGAGAAUCCGGCGGCGGCGGUGGUGGAGAGACGACGGAGGAGAGGAAAGGCCGGUUGUGAGAUUUUUUGCUUCAGCAUCUUUCUGCUAUGUUCCGUUUUGCUGUGAACAACUCAAAAAUAUAAUUAUGGUUUUCACACUGCGGUUAACCAAAAACUGGACCGAGCAAGAUUUUUCAGAUAAAUUACUGAUCGGUUUAACCUGAAUAACCGGAUCAAAACCAAAAAUAACCAGACUUUUAGAUGUUGAGAUUAUUUGGUUCUAAGAGUUGCACAAAACUUUCAGCCACUUUAGACAUUCAAACUUCUGUGUUGUCUGACCGCUGUUCAUGUACAUUAUUACAUGAUAAAGAUAUGAUUACUACAUUUGAUGAAUCAAAGAGAACACCCAGAGUUUGUGAUCUGUUUUUAUGUUUUAUUUGUGGUGUAAUAUGUAGAACAUGUCUGAGUUUAUCUUUUUCUAGUAAAUAUGUAAAACACAAAGACGAACCCUAGGGUUAUAAAAAGAAAGCCGAAGCAAUCAGUUACAGCUUUGAUCAAACUUCGUGAAACAAAGGUGGAUCCCAAGGUUACGCGAUUAAUCCAUGAGAAUUCGGCUUGGAGAAUUUGUGAUCACGAUACAAAGACGAAGGAGGGCGAGCGAGGUUAUUACAACGAAACCAGGCCGUGACAAGAUUGAGAAACAAAACCACGGUUUCAAAGACUUGAUAGCAAAGGCACGUGAGAAACUGCAAGAAAAGAGGCAGGUUGAUGAUAGGUACACUGACAUCGCAAGCCAGAGGAUAGCUGCUCGGUUAGCUCUUGAUCAGAUAGUAGAAACUGAUGAUGAUUUUGAUGAUCAUCUUAAAUAUCGUACAGAAUUGCAAAACGUUGGGUGCGAUUUCAUCCGCGAUCAAGUCAGUUGCUUGAAGAUGUUCAGUUUGUUGUCAAGAAACGACUACUACAUUGAUGAAUCCAACUCAGUCAGUCUUGGAGACGAAGGAACUCCCACGGUCUAGUGAAUAUAUUCAUUGAGAAAGAAUUUUUUCUGUGUUUUAUUUGUUGUAAAGUAAACAUGUUUGGAGUUUAUCUUUUCAGGUAAAUAUGUCAAAGUUUCAGUGUAAUUCUGUCUGUAGUAUUUGCAAUACGAUCAAACUACUUUCUGGUUUGGUUUCUCUAAAAAUCAAAGUUUCUCUUUGCAUGUCUUCCAACAGAUUUUCAUCAAAUUAAACAAAAUUCACAUCAAACCAACCCAAAUCCAAACCAAAAUUAUUUGGUCAUGAACUUGUGUGACCGAAAUAACCCAAAGUUUAUAUGCAGCUGCAAAAGAGGACUGACUACUAAAACUUUGAAACACUGAUUUUAGCAAAAAAAAAAAAAAAAAAAAUUUAAAACACUGAUAAGAUUCAAGAUUUCUGUCGAAAUAUUUCACCUUUCACUUGAUGUCCUGUGAAAUUUUUGGAGAGAGCCUCCAUGGGAGUUUACUACUUGGGGGCGAGGAUAGCAGAUGCAGCAGCAGCUUCUGCAAUGAGAGCAACUGGUUGACGAGCUUGAAGGCAAGCACCAAUGUCAAAAGGGUGCAACUCUGAACCAUCAUAGAGAAGAUUCAGUCCUGGAAGAACCACUUCUCGGCUAUCUGCUUCAUCUGCAUCUGCCUUUGUUGCAGUUGAAGGUGCAUUCUCGUCUAUGGUCCUAGUGGCAGCCUCAUAUACAGGGCAAGUGUAGGAUCUGCGACCACCCCCUCAAAAGUUCCUCAAAAUCUGAGACAAGAAAUAAAUAAAAUUCAAGAAACUAAACUGACCUGAGGAUGCUACCAUCGAAGCUUAGAACUUCAGUCCGGCAACGUUGGCGAUUAGCUAGUUUCAACCGUUGAAAUUCGCUCGAGGCACCUGAAAUUGGGGAGGAAGGGUCCACGAGUGGGUUCCAUUUGCCGCUUGCAUAGUUCAUGAGCUUACUACGAGGAGCCUCCUUUGCUUGUUCUUUCUGGUAGAGAAGUUUAGCAGCUGGACCUGUUGCUUGGUACUGUGCGCAUAUAUCUUUCAACCUUUUCCUUAUGCACUGCAUUGCAUUGUGCUGUUCCAUGAGCGAAUCUGCUUGAAGUAACUCUGACGAGACGAUUCUUUUGCAGAUGUGGUUGCACAGCUUUGGACUGAAUAGUGGCAGCCCAAACUCCACGGUUAAAGGGACCCAUUCAUACUUCUCAUCAUCAUCUGGAGAAAAGUAGCCUGCUGGAUCCUUUGCUUUAAAGAGUUUCAAAAGGCGGAUGUAACCGACAGUCCACAGUUCCAUGUUGUUCGCCAGCUUGGUUAAGAGAGAGUUCAACUUUGUGUUUUCCUCAAGGGGAAGUCCAAGCUCGUCCGCGAAAUGAGGAAUAGAGCCAUCAGAGUUCUUCAGGGGUAAUGGUAUAUCUAAAGUAACAAUUCGUCCAGAGCUAUCAAGAUCAUGCUUGCUGAGAGGCUGAACGAGAACAGCUGAGCAUUUGAGAAGGCAAUUCAAACAGUGUAACAGUAUACUUCCCUUGACCAAGUUACCUUCAAACUUGUUUCCUAGGCCACCAACCGAAGAUCCAUCCCAAGACCAAAUGAGAGCUUUCUCACAGCCAGCUAGUGGAGCAGGAAGCAUCCGCAGACACUGCCCUUUCAUCAAGAUAACCGACAAAGGCCCAGUGCCCACGGUUGAAUACAAUACCAGUUUCAUCCACUGUGUCAUCGAUGAAUGGGAGGGAGGACCGAAAUGAACUGGGCCUGAAGGUCCAGGUAGAACAGUCGUCAGUGGAAGAGGAACCAUUGAAACAACAAUGUCGUAGUCUCGGGAAAACAAACGAUCUAGAGUAACUGGUGUUAGAGAAGCCAGACUUUCACAACGAAGAAUAUCAACGCGAUAUCUCUUCCUUUUCUUGUUUCCUUUACUGGUGUCGGGUCCUUCUACGGUGAUCGGCUUCCCGUCAUUCUCAAGGCUUAGGUUAGAACUAAGGGUCUCGGUCAAGGCAGUAGUAUCAUCGGCCAGUGUAGUUGCAGCUGCUUCAUGUUCAGAGCUUUCAGGGACACGCUCUGUCGAAAUGGGAUCCUCGUGAGGGGUAUCUGAAACCAUUGAAGCCUCACUAUUUUGGCUGGUUAAAGAAUCUCCAGAAUUAUCAGGAGAAUUAACAUCAGCAAGAAGAGUUACAGCCUCAUCAUUAAUCGAAGUUCCUGGUCCCAUCGUAUCAACUGCUGUAUCAGUAGCAACUCCACCAGAUAUCAAACAUUCCAGAACACAACGAAGGCUAAAGGCAUGAUUUGCAAAUUCUUGCAGUUCACCCUCAAAUUUUGCUCCCUCUAAUGUGCUCAAAUCCUUGCAAAGGUCCGGGAUACUAGUAUGCCCGAGCUUUCCAGCUUCAUAGAGUGUUACAGCAUGAGACUUCAAUCCUAUAGCAGUAUUCAUUAACAUGGAUGGAAUGUAUUAGAAUAAUGCAAAAAGUAUAGUUGAUAUUAUGGGCUAUCAAUAAUUAUAAGUUGCGCAUCAAAUGGAACUAGGAAAGGAUACCUGGUGAGACAGAACCCAUCAUUAGAUAUGAUGUUAUGUUAGCAUCGACUAUGAAAGCAACUCGAACAUGACUCGAACGUAAUACAGAGCUUUCUGUCCCUAAAUUAUCUCCAUUUUGAGCCGCCUCACCAUCAGCAGACAUGUAGGAAGCACGAGUAUCGUCUUCAUCACUGAGGAUGGCACGUGGAGACCCAGGCAUAAUCUUAUCAUGAAGCACAGAAGCCGGAUCAAUUAGCUUUACAGCCCACCCCAAGCGGCAAACAAAAGACGCAGCAGCCUGUAAUUGAGCAAGGUCAGCUUGCAAAGUGGAUGCCAGCUCUGCAACUGUUGAAUUCUCAUUUGAAACUACAAAAACUGCAUAGAGUAAUCUGCAAAAUGAACUUACAGCAAUUAGAAUUCUAUUAAUCUCAGGGAACUACAUCCAAGAUGAGCUAAGCUUCCAUGUAGCGAAAUAGAUUCCUUACUCUUCAAUGGGAUCUUCAUAAGACUGCUCUCUGUUGGAGAUGAACCCUUCAAGCUUUGAAACUGAAACAGCGAUGCAAUGAAUGUCAGUGAAAUCUUAGUCUCACGAGACAAAAUCCGAUAUUGACAUACUGGAAUCUGAGAGCAGACUCCCGGCUUUGUUCCAAGUAAAUAAAAAUAGCAUGAAAUUGUAUUGGCAUAAACUCACCUUUAAAGCGGUCAUCCUGGUAGACUGGGACAUCAAAAUAUAUCAAUCCUCUUUGGUAUAGACCUUUUAUGACUUCCGGAUCAAAGAGGACAUAUGCAUUAACUUCCUCCUUGCAAAUUUUAUCUAUUGUGGCCGUCUCAUCUUCUGAAAGUUUCUAUGCAAAGAACAAAAAUUAAGAUCUGCGAUCAGACUAGGAACAGUACGAUUGCAGUGACAUCUCAGUAGUUCAGUAUGAGCAUAAUUGGUUUCAGAAGCAAGAAGCAUAAAAGAUAUAGACAAGCUUAGAUCACCUUAAACUCUUCUAUGGUGAAGUUAACAAGGCAAACACCCCACCAAGGGUCAAUAGGGAAAUCCACAGGUUGAGUAGGUAAGAAAUCUUUCGCAAUCGAUUUGUUCAGCUUCCACAUAAUUUUCUGGAAAGCUCAACACAUACAUGAAAAGAAUUAAGACAUAAUAGAAGCUGGUGGACAACAUCCAAAUUGACACGAGGAAAAGUGAUUCUUUAUGAUAAUUUCUUUAUUUACAAAUUACAGUGUCAGAAAAUGAAAUCAGGAAAUACUAUAUCUUGAAUUUCGUAAUCUUUGAAUUCUCGUAUUUUAUACACAAACAGAUUCUCCGAGUAGGAAGUCAAAGCAAAACAAAAUAUCAAGAGUGUAACUUGGACAAUAUAUCAGUGCAGAUUAUAGAUGCAGAAGUACCUUAGAUCUGCAUUUAUUCAUGAUAUCAAUGAAUUCAUUUCUCCCUAUGCCCGUAAGCCUGAAAGCAUCUGCCGCACUGAAGUUUGGGAUACUGUCGUAAGGUUGCUCUGUGUCAAAUAAAAAAGGAAUGAGGAUGAAAAACUCGCUGGCUAGUAGAACUUUAAGUGAAAAGUGAGCUAUAAAGUGAAGCAACAAUAUACCAUUACGCAUGACUUCAAAUAUCAUAUCACAGUAGUAUCUGAAAGGUGAUAUCCUCAUCACACGGCAAACAUGCUCCGCAAGGUGAUAAGGAAACAGCUGCAGGUAAAUGUUAAUAGCAAUUAAGAUUACGGAUCCUGUGGCAGUAACAAGAAGAAGAAAAAAAAAGUCCAAAUCUAUAUCAAAAAGCAUCUCGCCUUGUAUCAACAGUGUCAAAUCAUAGCUCUCAUUCAGAAUAGUAGCAUUACCAUCACAGACUUGUCUAAAAAUUAAACCUUGUUUGCCACUAUUACUAAUCCCAGAUUCUAGCAACUUCAGUAAUUUCCAGAGGAAGCUAUUGAAUACAAAACAAAGAGGGAGAAAGACAAGAAAAGAGAGAAAAUAUAGAAAAGGAUAGGCUAUUAACUCUACUCUAGAAUGCCAUUAAAAUAACUAAAAGGAAGAUUUCUUAAAGAGUAAAUCCAUCAACACUUACGGCCAGAUUCUUUCGCAAGUAACGCAUCAUAUCUUCAUAAUAUUCACCUUCUUUGCAAACUUUACAAGCAAAACACGUAUUCCAAAGGAGUCUCUUUUUAAUACAAUGCUCAAUAACCCUGCAUAAAACAAUCACAAUCAAAAACAAUGAAAAAAAAGAUACUGCUACUACCCAAAAGGUAGAACAUAGAAAUGCUAGAAAGCAGCUCAACACCAAUAAAUAAUGACAUUAACGUUCAUUGCUAAAGAAAGUCAAGCUAGUAUAGUAACCUUCUAUGCCAUUCCUCCUUGGAACCAAGAAUAGACUGAAGUCGUUUAGGGAGGUUCUCCCAUGGGCAUUCUUCCCUUACAGCUUUCGAUAUCAACUGGUCCUCUAUGGUGACUGGAGUGUGCUGCAUCUUUCCCCCCACCUAGAAGUUCCGUAUCUUCCAAGUAAAACAAUAAAUAAAUAAGCUUGAAUCUCAAUCCAAUGAAGUCUUCCCACCGACAAGAUCGCAAAGCCUAAGAUCAAUUUUCCAUCGCUAAUCGUCUUCGUUUCGCGUAUAAGCUUACUAGAACACAGGAAUGCAGUCUAAUUAUGAAAUCCAAAGAACAUUGGCGACUAAAUGCAGCGAUCUCGAGACUAGUGAUCCGUAACACAAUAAGAAACUCGAAAGAUGAUGAAUUGAAGAAGACGAGUGGCGAUCGGAGAUUACCUGAGCUCACCGGCGAUUCAAGAGAUCAACUAAAGUUUUCUUCACCGGAAUCUCAUGAGAUCUGAAGGAAGCGCAACCUACGACUAUGUACGCUCCCUGGGCCUAAGUUAUGAGCUUUAAAAUGAUAUGUGGGCCCAAACAUCAUGGUCUAUAAAAUAAUUAGAAAUGUAGGCCCAAACUCCUCCUCGGUCAUACUAUUGUAUAAAGAUUUAUACACACAUUCACCUGAAAAGCAGCUUACUCUCUAAAAGACUAGGCCUGGACAUCCGGGUCUUCGGGUCGGCUUCGGGUCGGGUAUUAUCGGAUCCGGAUCCUUCGGAUCCUAGCAAUUUAGACCCAUAUAGGUACCUAUAACUUUUCGGGUCGGUUCCGGGUCGGGUCUUGUCGGGUCCGGGUCGGUUCGGAUCUAUAAUUUCAAUACCCGUAAAAUACCUAAAAUUUUUGGGUAUAUUUCGGAUCCGGGUCGGUUCGGGUAUUUAGGACCCGAAAUAGACUCGAAAUACCCGAACUGGACCCGAAAACUCUAAAAAUACCCGAAGGACCGCAAAAAUACCCAAAAUUUAUCCAAAAUCAGACCCGAAAACCCAAAACAUACCCGAAUUUUACCUGAAUACCCAAAUUAUAUUUUCUAAAAAUCUAAAAUUUCACCAAAAACCUACAAUUAUACCCGAAAAUCCAAACCCGAAACUUUAAAAAAAAAUCCAAAAUACCAAAAAUAUACCCAGUCACCCAAAUAUACCUAGUAUAUACAAUUAUUUGCGGGUACUUCGGGUACCCGAACGGGUCUCGGGUAGGACCCGGACCCGAACCGAGACCUGCNNNNNNNNNNNNNNNNNNNNNNNNNNNNNNNNNNNNNNNNNNNNNNNNNNNNNNNNNNNNNNNNNNNNNNNNNNNNNNNNNNNNNNNNNNNNNNNNNNNNNNNNNNNNNNNNNNNNNNNNNNNNNNNNNNNNNNNNNNNNNNNNNNNNNNNNNNNNNNNNNNNNNNNNNNNNNNNNNNNNNNNNNNNNNNNNNNNNNNNNNNNNNNNNNNNNNNNNNNNNNNNNNNNNNNNNNNNNNNNNNNNNNNNNNNNNNNNNNNNNNNNNNNNNNNNNNNNNNNNNNNNNNNNNNNNNNNNNNNNNNNNNNNNNNNNNNNNNNNNNNNNNNNNNNNNNNNNNNNNNNNNNNNNNNNNNNNNNNNNNNNNNNNNNNNNNNNNNNNNNNNNNNNNNNNNNNNNNNNNNNNNNNNNNNNNNNNNNNNNNNNNNNNNNNNNNNNNNNNNNNNNNNNNNNNNNNNNNNNNNNNNNNNNNNNNNNNNNNNNNNNNNNNNNNNNNNNNNNNNNNNNNNNNNNNNNNNNNNNNNNNNNNNNNNNNNNNNNNNNNNNNNNNNNNNNNNNNNNNNNNNNNNNNNNNNNNNNNNNNNNNNNNNNNNNNNNNNNNNNNNNNNNNNNNNNNNNNNNNNNNNNNNNNNNNNNNNNNNNNNNNNNNNNNNNNNNNNNNNNNNNNNNNNNNNCAAUUGGUUGAGUCGCAGAACGAGAAGAAAGCACAAGUGUCCUCAAUCAAAUGGAAAGUCUGCAAUGUGACAGCUGGACCAGACUACAUCCCUUGCCUUGACAACUGGCAAGCUAUCAAGAAGCUUCAUUCCACUAAGCAUUAUGAACAUCGCGAGAGGCAUUGUCCUGAGGAAUCUCCAACCUGCCUUGUUUCUCUUCCCGAAGGGUAUAAGCGAUCCAUCAAAUGGCCUAAGAGCAGAGAAAAGGUAAAGCUUCUUGAGACCCAUUAUGUUAUUUUUCAGUGAUACCAAUUUAACUCUUUUAUGUUUUGUGUUGACACACAGAUAUGGUACAACAACAUUCCUCACACCAAGCUUGCACAAGUGAAAGGACAUCAAAACUGGGUGAAGAUGAGUGGUGAAUACUUAACAUUCCCUGGUGGUGGGACUCAGUUCAAGAACGGUGCUCUUCACUAUAUCGAUUUCCUCCAAGAGGUACACUUUGAUAUUUCAUUCAAUGUCUACACAAUUUUCUCAUUGACUAUUAACAUUGAUAUGUGUAUUGAUUGCAGUCAUAUCCUGAUAUUGCUUGGGGAAACAGAACUCGUGUUAUAUUGGAUGUUGGGUGUGGUGUUGCUAGCUUCGGAGGAUACCUUUUUGACAGAGAUGUCCUUGCUUUGUCAUUUGCACCAAAAGAUGAACACGAGGCGCAGGUUCAGUUUGCUCUGGAACGUGGUAUCCCUGCAAUGUCAAAUGUUAUGGGAACCAAGAGAUUGCCUUUCCCAGGAUCUGUUUUCGAUCUUAUCCAUUGUGCUCGUUGUAGAGUCCCUUGGCAUAUUGAAGGUGGUAAACUACUUCUGGAACUGAACCGUGCAUUGAGACCGGGUGGUUUCUUUGUCUGGUCGGCAACUCCAGUUUACAGGAAGACCGAAGAAGACGUUGGCAUAUGGAAAGGUUGGAAACUUUGUUCCCUUUUAUUUGCAACUGGUUCUUAACUAACAUGUGAGAUGUUUCUUUAUGUUCUGUAGCUAUGUCGAAGCUAACAAAGGCAAUGUGCUGGAAACUAAUGACGAUAAAGAAAGAUAAACUGAAUGAAGUUGGUGCUGCCAUUUACCAAAAGCCAAUGUCGAAUGAUUGCUACAACCAAAGAUCUCAAAACGAGCCACCUCUCUGCAAAGACUCUGAUGAUCAAAACGCCGCUUGGUAGCUUAUCUAUUCCCUUUCUCACAUCAAUGCAAUGGAACUUUGUUGCUAAAGUAUAUGAUUGCAGGAAUGUUCCACUUGAGGCAUGUAUGCACAAAGUGACAGAAGACUCAUCAAAACGCGGAGCAGUUUGGCCUGAGAAUUGGCCAGAGAGAGUAGAGACUGUUCCUCAGUGGUUGGAUUCUCAGGAAGGUGUGUAUGGAAAACCUGCACAAGAGGAUUUCACAGCAGACCAAGAACGUUGGAAGACUAUUGUGUCGAAGUCAUACCUCAACGGUAUGGGAAUCGAUUGGUCUUAUGUCAGAAAUGUGAUGGACAUGAGAGCUGUCUAUGGAGGGUAAGUACUGAAAAAAAAACAUUCACUAAUAUCAAACUGACUCCAUGUAUUUGUUAUUAAAUGAUCUCUCUCUUUCUUGGUUUCAGUUUUGCUGCUGCUUUGAAGGAUCUGAAGCUGUGGGUGAUGAAUGUAGUUCCUAUCGACUCAGCUGAUACGCUACCAAUUAUAUAUGAACGUGGUUUGUUUGGAAUCUACCAUGACUGGUGUGAAUCAUUCAGCACUUACCCUCGAACUUACGACCUUCUUCAUGCUGAUCAUCUUUUCUCUGCACUGAAGAAGAGGUAUGUAGAUAUACAGUACACUCACAUAUCUCUGUGACCUUUUCUUGAUUGCAAAAUCUGAUGAUUGUAUAUAUAAACAACACUCAUUCAGGUGCAGCUUGGUGUCGGCAAUGACUGAAGUGGACAGGAUACUCAGACCACAAGGAACUUUUAUAGUAAGAGAUGACAUGGAAACAAUAGGAGAAAUAGAGAAGAUGGUGAAAUCGAUGAAAUGGAAUGUAAGAAUGACUCAUUCCAAAGAUGGAGAAGGAGUGCUCUCUGUUCAAAAGUCAUUGUGGCGUCCUUCAGAGGUCGAGACAGUUACAUGGGC